CUAUCUUUAAGUAUCCAAAAAAACAUUUUGGGACAACCAUAUAGACUGCCUUUUUCGAUUUAAAAAGUGACAAACAAGUGUUAAAAGUUUGAAACUGUUUCCACAGAAUGUCCACAAAGUUCUCACCAACAGCAACUUGUUCGGGAUAGAAAAUGGGAGCACAAGAGCAUCCCUGGCAAAUGACACCCCAGACACGCCCUCCCCCAUCCCUGACCCUGCCUGCCAGCUCGCAGCAAAGGCCAAAGAGCUUGUGGAUGGUGUCUGCUCACUUUGCACUGAGGAUCACACAUCACCGCAGUAUUCAGAGGAAAGCGGCAUGAACUCCGGAGAGGACUGUGAUUCAGAUGUCAUUCACUGGCCGCAGGCUCCUCCCCUCCUCUGAGCUCCUGCACUAGUGUGACAAGAGAGGAUUUUGGAAUGAACAAAGACUUCAACAAGAAGAACAUCAAGGCCGAACCAAAACUGGAGAAUAAAAGACUGGUUUUCUUGUGUUUUUUUAUGCGUUUACUGUUCAUUUCAAAUGAUAGCAGAGACCUGAGAAGACUACUGGUCAAAGCAUCUGUUCAUGUACAGUACAUAUUUAACCUGUAGCAUUAUUUAAUGUCAUAAUGGGAAGCCAAAAGACGAUCAGUUUAAACAAAUGACAACAUAAACAGAUGUGACUAUAACCUAAGUCAUCACAUUGUGCCAUGUGCAACAUUUAACUUAACUUAUUUAGUAAGAAAACGUAAACCACAAUUAUGGUGAUGAGUGUUUAAUAUAUUUAACAAGAGAAAUAAAAAUCAAGUCUUAAUUCAAGUACAUUUCCCUAUUAAGUGAAUAUAAUGUAAACACGUGGCUGUAAAGCUCUUUAUUAGAGCUAUGUGUAAAAUACACUACAUGUUUUACAUUUAAGUUAGAUAACAUCAUCAUUUGAAAUGAUGCUUAUUUGUAUCUGUUCUGCUAAGAAGUGCUAUAUGAUGCGUUAAAGAUUUUAUAUUUUGAGUCCAAAUCUUUUAUUAUUCAGAAACACAUAGACAUGCUCGCAUAUAUGUGCGCAGUUGCUGUUGUAAACCUUGUAAAUACUGCAGCCAAACCCUUCGACGUCUCUUUACAUCUUCACUAAUGAUGUCAUUUUUUGUCACAUUUGCUGUGCAGUUUAGUCAUUCAUUUUGUUUUCAGGGGAGAUCCUUCAUAGUUUGAUUCUGCUAUUGGCUCUGGCAUCUGUGACUGUACCGAUUGUUCUUGAAGGAUUUCGGUUGUCAUGCCACCAUAAAGCAGUGGAGGUCAUAUUGCAAUGCUUCACCUCUGAAUGCAUCCAUUCAUCUAAACAAUGAAGAGAGUUCAGAUUACCAUCCUCAUAACCACGCUGUAUUUGAAUGUUUUUGUCUUGGAAUAUCUGCAGUCAAAUAUAUCAACGUGUAAUAAAGUGGUAUUACUCAUUUCCUGAUGAAUUAGGUGGAACUUCAUGUUAACAUUAACCGGUUUGAUUUGUAAAUACAUGCUCAGAAAGUGCUGAUAUAGUAAUGUGAUUGAACUAGAAUGCAUCAUGUGUGUGGCCUAAAUAUCUUUCUUUUAUUGUUUUUAUUAAAGUCAUAAAAAAUGUG